UCCAGUCCUGUCUCCACCCUGCUGCUUCCUUCUCUGCCGAGCGGCUUCUCUGGCACCACAUGAACCACACGAUUUCACUCAUCCAGAAGCAGGGGCACAUGAGAAGGACACCCCUGGUGUCCCACAUCCAGGCGACAGCAUCAGAUCUAAGAGACUGAUCAGUCAUGUCAUUACUUGUGAAUAAUGACCUGGGAGGUUGCUAAACCAUGUAGGAAUCUGGCUACCUUGCAAUGAAUACUCAGCUCUGAGCGAAUGAAAUAAAGGCAGUUUUGUCACCAACACCAUCCUAAA